rnacentral:lncRNA from 1 species
GGAAUUACAUUUUUUUUGAUUAAACGUAGAUCUUUCACUUUACCAAAAAAAUAUUUACAAUAAGAACCAGGAGGAACUUGGACUAUCCACUCUUCUAUUGUAUGAUUACCUAGCUCAUCCUAUCCUAUUGACUAUUGUGCUUCUACUGUUUGAACACAAGUUCAGUGACUAUAACUCAAGACACAAGAAUAGGAGAAAAUAACACUACACUUACACAACCACACUUUAAGCUUAGCCAACACUUCAUUAAGGAAAUCAAUUCUGUUGUAGCAAGUCUUUCUUCCACUUCACAAUCUUGCUUCGUUGAAUAUGUAGAUGCAUCACAAUCUCCCUACAUAUGUGAUCAGCUUCAAAUUUGGACUGAUGGAAUCGAAUAGUAUUUCUCUCCCUCCAAAUCAAGGAAGUGACCAUAGCAAAAACAACAAGUAAUAGCAUCAGACCCAUUUCCUCUCUUAGCUUUAUGACAAACCCAUUGUACUUCAUCUCUCCAGCUACCAAUUCUUCUAUUGCGUCCCGAUCAAGAGCAUAAUCUGGUCUAGAGUUGAUGAGUGACCUCGCAGAUGAAGAAGAGAUAAUCAAAAGCUUCCACUGUCUGGCCACAAAAGGCACAAUCUAGUGAUACUUGAAUGCCAAACUUCAGAAGUCUUUCCACAGUUGCUAAUCUUUGUUGUAUUGCAAGCCAAAGAUGAAAUUUGUGUUUUGGAUGCAUAUUGGCAUGAAGAGUAAUGAAUUGUGAGUGUACUUUGGAAUGUUGAGGCAUUAUUGUCAUAUACAUCUUCUUUAUAAAAUAGUCUUUGUUACCCUAUACAACAAUCAAUCUGGAGUUUAGAUCACCUUGAACACCUUGUUGCUGCAUAAGAAAAUCCCUUGUACCUAAUAUUUUCCUAACUACCCAUGAUGCAUUCUUGGGUAUAGGAGUUAUUGUUAAAUCCAUUCUCUUUAUUUAGUAACUAUGAACCCACUGUAUCAAAAGACAAUUCUUCUUUUUAGAGACGUUCCACAAUAGUUUCAGUAUAGAGCUAGGUUCAAACUGUUUAAGCCUCCAACAACUUUAAGUCAACACACUUUUUCGUAGGAAAAUAAUGAAAAACUCUACUCACAGGUAUCUUAUAAUGGAGAGGAACAAAACAACAGGGAAGGAAGCAGAGAAUGGAAAGCCUUUUAAACUUUUGCAGAGAAUGUGGCUGAAUGAAUUUUAUUCAAUAGAUUAGUGGCCUUAUAUAGGCUUAGUCACUAUCCCACUAAACCACUACUUUAGUUCCACUAAAUAAGUUCUCCUAAUCUUAAGGAACACAUCUGCAGUACUAGAAAAACUGAAAAAUAACAAAUACUAACUGAAUGCUAAAAUUAAGCUACUAAAGACUUAGUCAAACUAGAAUGCAACAGCUGAUGUUGUACGCUUUAACACUCCCUCUCGACAUCAGCUCCUAUCUUAACCAUGCCCAGCUGUUGACAUAAACUUUCAAAUUUAUUGACACUUAAGCCUUUUGUGAACUCAUCUGCAAUUUGCUGCUCAGUUUUAAUAUGCUUCAAGUUAAUCUCUGUUUGCAACACCUUUUCUCUGAUGAAGUGGUAAUGUAUUUCCACAUUCUUAGUUCUUGCAUGAAAAAUAGGAUUUUCAGCCAAGCAAAUCAUUGACCGAUUGUUACAGUACAGGGGAAUUGUGUAUCCAACUGAUUGUUGCAAGUCCUUCAUCAACUGCAUAAGCCAUGUACUUUUUUGAGCUGCAACUGCUGCUACUCGAUACUCUGCUUCUGUUGUUGACAACGACACUGUUGGUUACCUUUUGCUGCACCAAUAAAUUGCUCCAGCUCCAAGCUUAAACACAAAACCAGUAGUUGAACGAUGGGUAUCAUGGUCCCCUCCAUAGUCAGAGUCACAAUAUCCGAACAGCUCGCAUUCUUCACCUUUCUUGUAUAAAAGACCAUAAUCAAUCGUACUUUUCACAUAUCUUAGUAUUCGUCGAACAACCUCCAUGUGAUACUUCUUUAGAUUAUGCAUGUAGCGACUCAUCACACCAACUGCAAAAGAAAUAUCAGGUCGAGUCUGAGUUAAAUAAAUCAAACUACCUACCAAUUGUCGACACAUCGUCACAUCUUCUAAAUCUUUUCCUUCACGUGCACAUAUCUUAGCAUUUGGCUCCAAUGGUGUUGAGAUUGUUUUGCAAUUAACCAUCCCAAACUUCUUCAACAAAUCGCUGGAAUAUUUUUUUCUGAUGCAAACAAAUUCCUUCCUCAUUACGAUCAACCUCCAAGCCAAGAAAAUGGUUGAGUUGUCCUAGUUCCUUCAUCUGGAAGCGAAUUGAUAAAUUCUUCUUGGUUCGAAGAAUUUAUUCUUCACAAUCUCCUGUUAGGAUUAGAUCAUCCACAUAUACUAGCACAAUAGCUAGUUUUCUUCCAACAUUUUUCACAAAUUAGAUGGAAUCUACCGGUGCUACAAAAUAACCACUAUAAGUAAGAAAUUCUGAAAUCUUACCAUACCAUGCCCUUGGUGCUUGCUUUAAUCCAUAUAGCGCCUCUCGAAGCUUACACACAUACUCAGGAUGAUCUUGACUUUGAAAACCCAUUGGUUGGAAUAUGUAGAUCUCCCGAUCCAAUUCUCCAUGUAGAAAUGCAUUCUUUACGUCCAUCUGCCAAAGGUUCUAAUAUUUACUAGCUACAAGUGCAAGUAGAAUCCGGACAAUAGUAAGCUUUGCCACUGGACUAAAUGUUUCAUCAUAAUCUAGUCCAUAUUUUUGAGAAAACCCCCGAGCUACAAGACGAGCUUUGAGCCUUUCAAUUGAUCCAUUUGUGUGACGCUUUAUCUUGUAAAUCCAUUUACAAGAAAUAGGUUUGACAUCCUUCGGCUUUGCCACGAGUUCCCAAGUUUGAUUCAAUUCUAGCGUGGCAAUUUCCUCCUCCAUAGCUUUAAUCCAUUUCAAAUUUUGGAAUGCUUCCUCAAAAGUCUCUAGUUUUUUUUCACCUUCUUCUACUAUGGAAGCAGUCGCAUACUUUGCUUUCUGAUCCUUGUUGACCUUCUAAGUGUAGGUGGUGUGUUUGCUUUAUUUAGCUCACUUUCUUCACCCAGUUGUUGAUACAAACCAGUUUGCCAAGGACUUUGAGUCAUACCUUCUUCAAUAUUAUCUUCAUUAGCUUCAGUUUCAGCUUCAUCUAGACCCAACAAGAUAUGAGAGAAGUCCAAAACAUCUUUGAGAGCAUCUGAAUCUGGAAACAACUCCUUAUUUGAGACCACCAUAAAGAGGCUUCAUCAAAUAUCACAUUUCGAGAAGUGUAACACUUCCCUGUUGUGGGAUCACAACAUCACCAUCCUUUUCGUUGGCUAUCAUACCGUACAAAAAUACACCUAACAGCCUUUAUGUCCAUCUUGCUAUGUAAGUGAUUAGGUAAAAAUACAUAGAAUACACAACCAAAAACACGAAAAUAGCUAACUAAAGGUUUCAUAUUCCAUAACUUCUCAAAAUGUGAAAAAAAAUUUAAACUUUGUUGAGGAAGUCUAUUGAUCACAAAAGCUGCAGUCUUCAUAGCUUCCGCCUAAAAUUAUCCCGGAAUAUUUUUUGCGUGAACCAUGCUCCGACAAAUUUUUGGUAGGCAUUCGUUCUUCCUUUCUGCGAUGCCAUUCUGCUGCGGCGUAUUUGGAUAUGUGAACUAAUGAUGUAUUGGACACUUUCGAAGAAACUCAACAAAUUCAUAUGAGGUAUAUUCCCCACCAUUGUCAGAUCGCAGACAAAUAAUUUUCUUGCCAACUUUUGCUUCAACAACCUUCUUGAACUCUUUGAAUUUUGAAAAUGUAUCAGACUUCUCCUUUAAAAAAAUAAACCCACACGUACUUGGAAAAAUUAUCAACGAAGAUCAACAUAUAUUUUAUCCCACCAACAGAGACUUGUUUGACGGGUCCGAACAUAUCUGAGGAAUUAACUCUAAUGGUUCUUUGGCCCUAUAUUUUGACUUUUCAUACGAAAGCUGAUGCGACCAUACUGGUAGCCUGCACAUAUCACAUCUGUCCUUACUGGAAGUUUGGGAAGACCCUUCAGUAUUGAUUUUUCCAUCAUGACACUAAGUUUCUAGUACCUAACAUCACUCAAUCGCAUAUGCCAUAAAUUUGCAGUUUUGUUCUUCCUUGUCUUGUCUAUAUAUAUGGUUUCUGCCGACAUUACAUAAACGGAAUUCAAUAUUUGUCCCUUCAUUACUGGCUCUUCUUUAAUCUCAAGAUCAUGAAAUAUCCUUACAUAUUGCGGACCAAACAGAACAAAGUGACCCGAAGAUGUUAAUUGUGCUACUAAAAGAAGAUUUUUCUUCAUACCUGGUACAUAAUAAACAUUUUGUAGAAACAUCAGAUCAAUACAAUUAUUUGGAGAAACUACAACCUUACCGAUAUGAGUUAUUGGUAAAUUUAUGUUAUUAGCUGUCACCACCUCACGACUUCCCUUGUACUCGGACAGAUUUUAUAGUUUUUGUUUGUUUCCAGUCAUAUGGUUUGAGCAUCUGGAAUCAACAAUCCAGUCAUUAUCAUAGUCAAUUUGUUUAGAGGUUGUUACGGUAAAGGAUAACUCCUCUUGUUCAAGAGCAAAGAAUGCUUCAGUAUCCCAGUCAUCUUCACUAUUUUCCUUUGGACCAGAAGUGGCAGCAACAUUACUUUCAACAGACCUCUUAUUGAACCAACAAAACUUAGCUUUAUGGCCCUUUUCCCAUAGUUGUGGCACUUCCCUUCAAAGCUCUUGUUUUUGCCCCAUUGAUUCUUUGAAGCUCCCUCUGGACGAUAGCUUUCCUCUCCUUGAUGAAUUUUUGCCUUAUCAUUAAUUUUUUUCGAUCCACCUGCAUUGCACUGCUUGGAGUUUCCUUUGUUUUUGUUGACGUAGAGCAUUUUCUCCUCGCCUUUUUGUGAAAAUCCACUCAUUUGCUUUGCCAUGGCUCCUUGGCCCGCAAGAAAAUUCUCAAACUCCAUAAGUGAUGGUUAAUUUUUCCAUCCCUGUAUUAUAGUAACAAAGUUUAUGUAUUUAGAUCCCAAACCAUGGAUGAUUAUUCUUUUCAUACUGGUUUACGCGAUUGGAGUUGUUGGUUCCAAUUCUGAAAUUUCGCGACAUAUCGACUUCACUUUGUGAAAGUAUUACGCAAUGCUCAUAUCAUUUUGAGCUAUCGACAAUAAUUCACUUUCUAAGAGGUGUAGCCGUGUAUCAUUCUUCUUUGAAAAAAGUGCAGCCAACGUAUCCCAAGCCUCCUUUGGUGUUUCAGCAUCUCGUAUAUGUUCCAACACAUCUUCUUGGAUGGUGGUUUUGAGGGAAAAUAAUGUUUUUCCUUCUUUAAUCUUCCAUUUCCUCAAAGAUCCAUUCGGUUCUUCUAUACCCGGUUUAACUUCACUUCCAUUGAUGACCUUCAAAAGAUCUUGACCUUCCAUAUACGAGGUCAUAUAGGUCAUCCACAUUUUGUAAUUCUGAUGGUUGAGUUUCUUCACUCCACCUAUGGCUUGAAGAUCACUCAUUUUGUUUUCUGUAAAACAACUGUUAUGUUCAAGAAGAUGGUUGCUGCCACCAAUAGCUUAUAAAUAUUCUACGUGGCUUUUCUUUCUCUCUUUUAAAUCUAGCUCUGAUGCCAAAUGAAAAACUCUACUCACAGGUAUCUUAUAAUAGAGAGGAACAAAACAACAGGGAAGGAAGCAGAGAUGGAAAACCUUUUAAACUUUUGCAAAAAAUAUGGUUGAAUGAAUUUUAUUCAUUAGAUUAGUGGUCUUAUACAGGCUUACAUAUCUUAAAGAGCCACUAUCCCACUAAACCACUACUUUAGUUCCACUAAACAAGUUCUCCUAAUCUUAAGGAACACAUCUGUAGUACUAGAA